GCGGGUGUGGCGGAAUUGGCAGACGCGCCGGACUCAAAAUCCGGUUCCGCAAGGAGUGUCGGUUCGAUCCCGACCACCCGCACCA
rnacentral:tRNA from 1 species